rnacentral:lncRNA from 1 species
AGUUACUGUAACCACCUAGAUUGCAAGAAACCUUUCCUUUGUGGGCUAGCCAAGUGGGCAGGAGUAAAACAGAAAAGUGGUGAAAGUUCCUUACCAUAAUUCUGGCAUGUCAGCUCCCAACCACUCCACUGCCAAUCAUGAUAUGUUUGUCCUCAUUGGCGUUCCUGGCCUGAAGGAGCUGCACGUGUGGAUCUCCAUCCCCUUCUGUCUGAUGUACCUGGUGGCUGUGUCAGGAAAUGGUCUCCUUGUCUGUGUGGUGGCAGUGGAGCACAGUCUUCAUGAACCUAUGUACCUUUUCCUCUCCAUGCUGGCAUUUUGGGAUCUGAUUCUAUCCACAUCUGCAGUACCCAAAGCCUUGAGCAUUUUCUGGUUUGAUGAUGUGGACAUCUCCUUUGGUGGCUGUGUCACUCAGCUCUUUUUUAUGCAUUUUGCCUUUGUAGCGGAGUCAGGCAUUCUCUUGACCAUGGCUUUCGACCGCUAUGUGGCCAUCUGCUACCCAUUGAGGUAUAGCACCAUCCUUAGCCACAGUGUUAUUGGCAAAAUUGGGGGUGUCGUGGUGUUCAGGAGUUUUGCAACUGUCUUCUCCAUCGUCUUCCUUGUGAAGCGUCUGCCCUUCUGCCGGACAAACAUCAUUGCCCACACCUUCUGUGAACACAUGGGGCUGGCAAAGCUAGGUUGUUCUGAAAUCACCAUCAAUAUUUGGUAUGGAAUCUCUGUACCACUACUCAGUGUUACGUUAGAUAUGGUGACAAUAGUCAUCUCCUAGGGGCUCAUAGUUCAAGCAGUCUUCAGGCUGCCCUCCCUUGGUGCUUGGAUGAAAGCACUCAGCACCUGUGGUUCCCAUGGCAGUGUCAUCCUCAUGUUCUGCCUUCCAGGAAUUUUCACUGUCAUUGUUCAGCGCUUUGCCUGAAAAUUUCCCAAGUAUGUCCACAUCCUGCUGGCCAAUCUCUAUGUUCUUGUUCCCCCCAUGAUGAACCCAAUUAUCUAUGGAGUAAAGACUAAACAGAUUCAGAAAGGGGUUGCCCUUGUGUUUUCUCCAAAAGGAAAAUGUUGCUGAGGGUGACUGGAUCUUACUGUGGCUUUUUAAAGAAGAGGAGGAGCGUCCUAUUAGAUGAUAAGAAACGUUUGCCAUGUAUUUUUUCAUGAAAUAGGGAUGACGCAAAUUAUAUAAGUCUCUUAUUUCAAAGGGAAGUAGGUUCUCAAAGGUUUGUUAUUCACAGAGAUAAACAUUAUUAUUUUAAAUAUCGAUAGGUUUUUUUAGUAUUUAAUGACAACAUAAUAUUUCUACUUCUACCAAACAAAUGUAAAAUCAAUAUAUAACACUUCUCUAAUAUUUAAAUUUUAGAUAUCUCUGUGUCCUCCCGAACAGCUAUUAUAAAUACAAUUAGAAAUAGUGAACCCCCAAAUUGGAUAAAAAUAGGGAAAAGGUAGAGGCUUCCCCUUCUAUCUAACUUUAUUUGCAAACAAACGAGAAUAUCUGAUAAUACUAGAUAGUGCCAUUCACAUAUAUGAUAUAAUAUUACAGUGUUAUAAAUAUGUGAUUUGGGAGAAAAAAGAUCACAUAAUUAGAUCAAUCAUUUUUGAGAUAUAAACUGCCCUGAGUGCUGGGUGUUCUAAGAGAGUUUCCUAAGCAUUAAGCAUCCCCUCUUCUUUAACUCCUUAACAUCUUUCUCACAGGGUUGUUUAAAAAUCCAAUGAGAAAGUGAAUAUUAAAGUGCUUUAGAAGUUAUAAAAUUGUAUCACUUUUUUAUAAAUGUGCUGUGUCAUUAUUAUUAGUGUGAUUAUGUUUCCUGGUAUGAGGUUUCAUUCUCAUUAUGGUCAAAAUUAAAUUCAGGCCAGGUGCAGUGGCUCACGCCUGUAAUCCCAGCACUUUGGAAGGCCGAGGCGGGUAGAUCACCUGAGGUCAGGAGUUCCAGACCAGCCUGGCCAACAUGGUGAAACCUCAUCUCUACUAGAAAUACAAAAAUUAGCUGGGCAUGGUGACGUGCACCUGUAGUGCCAACUAUUUGGGAGGCUGAGGCAGGAGAAAUGCUCAAACCCGGGAGGCAGAGGUUGCAGUGAGCCCAGAUCAUGCCACUGCACUCCAGCCUAAGCCACAGAGCAAGACUCAUUCUCAAAAAUAAAAAAAUAAAAAUAAAAAGUUAAAUGUAAAACAGCAAAAACCUUAUCCUUUGUCUACAGCCAAGUCCUCCUAUCACCCUCCUUCUUUCUUUUCCCACCAGGGAUCACUUAGCUAUGGUGAAGUGUCCUCCUGUAGCUUUUCCCUAUCAGUUGACUCUGAAUGGAGGAUGACAACACACUAUUCGGCUGCUCUAUCUGCACUGCUACUAUACCAAGUGGUGUGACUGGCUGAUGCCUCUUUGCACUUCCCAUCCUCCAGAAACCCCUGUAAGGAUUUUCAAAGAAAUUUUACCUUGCUCCAGAACUAUGGGACCUCCUUCUUCUCAGUUGUCUGUUCAGACUCUUGGCAUCUUGUAGGGAGUAGAGGAAUUACUUUUGUGUUUGUCCUGUGUUGGGGAUGUUUGGAUUAAUUUUGCCAAAAACUUGGGAUGCUUGGCUAACAGCAAGCCUCGGACAUUGAAUUUACAACUACACAGACAUUGAGAGAACUCCAGAGGGAUUUACCUAACUUCAGAAGUGUGGAGACAUUUCGGGGUUGUGAAGCUUGUGAGAAAGGUCUUAUUUUUUUCUGGAAAAUUUAUACCCUGGUAAUAUCUAAGGAAACAUUCUGGGAAGGAGGGAGGUAUGUGUAUGGGGGUGGGUCUAGGGAAUAGUCUCUCUGGCUUUCGUGAGCAAAGAAAAUAUAUAUUUCUUCAUUCUUUGCUUAUGAUGCGCAUAUAGCAUGCCAUAGGACAUUUGACCUGGCCUUCAUUGCAUUGUCUCAGGAGCAAGAAUCAGCUGUGGGGGACCACACAGUUAUUAUUGUCUUUAUAAUUGAAUAAUAACAGUGUAUCUUGUCCAGAAUAAUUUGUGUGUUCCUUCAAGAUGAAAUUGAUAAAAUGAAUCUUCAAAACACAAUAUAAUUCAGUGCAAACUUCUAAUGUAAAUGAUCUUCAACUUUCACAUAAUUCAACCCUGUAUAUUUUGAGUGACCAUUGUCCCUAUGCUAAUUCCUGAAUCUUCUUCCCACUCUCCUUUCUUCUUCACUCCCUAUAGUAAUACAAAGCUAUAUACUUAAAAAGUUAUAUCUAAAUCACAAUAAAAUAAUGUGUUAUCAAACUACUCUCAAAAAUACGAUCAAGUUUAGGAAUAUGAAAGGUCGUUGGGGUAAAACUAACCAAGGGGACAUAAAAAUCAGAGUUCAAAAGAAAAGAGCCAGUGAAGCGGUUGAAGCUCAAGUGCAGCCUUAUAAGGCCUGCAGUCGUGGCCUGAGCCACACUCAGGCUUGUGAAUUGGGCUUCAAGAGGACUAUGGCCAGUGGUAAGCUGAUGAAUGCUUAACAGCCAAUUCUUGGGGCUUGAUUGUAG